UCCGCGGUAGCUCAAUGGUAGAGCGGCUGACUGUUAAUCAGCGGGUUCCUGGUUCGAAUCCAGGCCGCGGAG
rnacentral:tRNA from 1 species